CAAAGAGCAGCGUCCUUGGCUUCCCUUUUUCAGAAUCUUCUAGGCCAUGCUCAUUGGUGCCUCUGUGGACAGCCUCUGUCUGCAGAUCAGAGCACCAUUGCCAGUUGCCAAGAGGAACUUUCUCUGAGGCUCCUGGAAGAGGCAUCCAUGCUGCUGUGGCUUUUGCUGCUGGUUCUAGGGAUCCCUGUGUCUUUUGUCUCCAUGGAAACUCUACCUCCAAGGGGGCAGGUGGUUGAAGAGAAGAUGCUGGCUGGUCCUUGUCUGCUCUGAGUCUGAAGGCACAGGGGGCAUCAUGUUUUCCUGACACAGAGAGGACACAAAAGGGAGCCUGGAGAGGAAAACUUGGCUUUUCUAGGUCUCCCGGGGCCCAGGCUGCCAUGGGGGAAGUGGUGGAGCUUCACUGUGAAGCCCAGUGGGGCUCUCCAUCGAGCCUGUACCAGUUCUAUCAUGAGGAUGUCACCCUGCGGAGCAGCUCAGCAUCCUUUGGAGAAGGAACAUCCCACAACCUCUCUGCAGAACAUUCUGGAAAAUACUCUAUCAGGCCAACAAUAGCCUAGGAGCCAGCCCAGUGAGGCAGUGCUUUUCAGUGUCAUUCAGCUUGAGCCUUGGCUAUGGGCUCUCUUUCAGAAGAUAAACUCCAAGCAUGCCAGUGUAUGGGGAAGGGUAUUUCGUGAAGAUUGGAUUUCCUCAGUGACUUACAGUGGAAACAGAGACAGGAGGUCAUGAAAAUUAGUUGCUAGCCUCCCACUAGCCUGAGAGGAGUGGGCUACACUCCAGGGCAUUGGACAAAUAACUGAACAUCACUUAACCAUUUCAAAUUAAGGCAAAAUGCACUGGAACACCUGCCCCAUUCCGCACUUCACACCACUUCCCCUGGAGUAUCUUCAGGAUUCCAGCCGAGUCCCUGACCUCUGAGCUUCACCCACAGAACACUCUCCUCAGAGGUCCCCUAGGAAAAAGGCCAUGCCACCUUCCGGUUGCGGUGACUGGGGGACGCUGCUUGGUUUCCUGGCAACUACUGCUCUGUUUUUUACCUGCGGCUCCAGAGAAAGUCAGAAACCUGUCCAGCCCAAAUCUCCGUGAACGCCUCUGCUGCAGCUCACCUAACCCGGCCAGGGACCAGGAGCCCAUGGAAAGCAAUGAUGAGUACUGAGGAAAGAUGUAGGGAUGAAGUGAGGCUUGCAUGGAUGUUCCAGUCUUCCCAGGUCCUGCCGAGGCUCGUUUGGGGUUUCCAAGAUAAGUUGGAAGCAUCUGGUCAGAAAAAGUACCAAUGUGAGCCCUUGGCCACCAUGUUCUUCCUAACCGUGUCCCCUUUCUCAGUGAAUCCAGCGUGUGUGUUUUUUUUCCCCAGGUCUGGAGUGCCCAUCUGAAGAUUUAGGCAGUGCUUAUUUUUUAAAUUAAGGUAUAG